rnacentral:rRNA from 1 species
GACGAACGCUGGCGGCGUGCUUAACACAUGCAAGUCGAACGGAAAGGCCCUGCUUUUGUGGGGUGCUCGAGUGGCGAACGGGUGAGUAACACGUGAGUAACCUGCCCUUGACUUUGGGAUAACUUCAGGAAACUGGGGCUAAUACCGGAUAGGCGCUCCUGCUGCAUGGUGGGGGUUGGAAAGUUUCGGUGGUUGGGGAUGGACUCGCGGCUUAUCAGCUUGUUGGUGGGGUAGUGGCUUACCAAGGCUUUGAGGGGUAGCCGGCCUGAGGGGGUGAGCGGCCACGUUGGGACGGAGAGACGGCCAAGACUCCUACGGGAGGCAGCAGUGGGGAAUAUUGCACAAUGGGCGGAAGCCUGAUGCAGCAACGCCGCGUGCGGGAUGACGGCCUUCGGGUUGUAAACCGCUUUCGCCUGUGACGAAGCGUGAGUGACGGUAAUGGGUAAAGAAGCACCGGCUAACUACGUG